rnacentral:lncRNA from 1 species
UAGGAAACUGUCGGGAUCGUAACCAGGAUUCACAGGACGAAUUUCUUUUCACUUCAACUCUGGCGGUCUAUUCCGCUUCACAUAUUCAAAAACUGCAGCGAAAUGUCCGAAUGAAGAGCGCCUGCCAUCAUCCCGUAGUAUUCGAAAGCUUACAAGAGUUGAACAGGUGUCUUUACUGGCCACUUGGAAUUCUGUGCUUUUGACAAUAAGUCUCUUCCUAGGCUAUGAAAUGAAGGCAUGAAUCCCUGGAAACUAGGGUCAAAAUGCAAGCUAAUUACCUUUACACUUAUUCAUUAUGUAAGUUGGAAUACAAACAAGUUAUUUUACACAGCUAUGAUUUGAGGAACAAUUUGCUAUGCAAAGAAAAUGAUUUGAAAUCAGAUAUCUCACCUUUCAAGUUCAGUUUCUUCCAGAAUACCAUGCAUCAUUCAAAAUAGCUAGAAAUAAAUCAAAGAAAUACAAGUACAUGACAGCACAAGAUCAUACCGGUAAUGGAUUUGAAAUUUUCUUUAUCAAAUCUAUGAUCCUUGAUCACACACUCAGGCUCAUCCAGCAAGGAACUGGGGUAACACGUUACACGUUUCAUGACUGCAG